rnacentral:rRNA from 1 species
GUGGGGAAUAUUCCGCAAUGGACGAAAGUCUGACGGAGCAACGCCGCGUGAGUGAUGAAGGUUUUCGGACUGUAAAGCUCUGUUGUUUAGGACGAAAGUGCCUGUUGCAAAUAGUUACAGGUAUUGACGGUACUGAACGAGGAAGCCACGGCUAACUACGUGCCAGCAGCCGCGGUAAUACGUAGGUGGCAAGCGUUGUCCGGAAUUAUUGGGCGUAAAGAGCAUGUAGGCGGAGAUUUAAGUCUGUUGUGAAAAUGCGGGGCUCAACCCCGUAUUGCGAUGGAAACUGAAUUUCUUGAGUGCAGGAGAGGAAAGUGGAAUUCCAAGUGUAGCGGUGAAAUGCGUAGAGAUUUGGAAGAACACCAGUGGCGAAGGCGACUUUCUGGACGAUGUCUGACGCUGAGGCGCGAAAGCUAGGGGAGCGAACGGGAUUAGAAACCCCGGUAGUCC